AGGGAAUCUUCCACAAUGGACGAAAGUCUGAUGGAGCAACGCCGCGUGAGUGAUGAAGGUUUUCGGAUCGUAAAACUCUGUUGUAAGGGAAGAACCAGUACGUCAGGCAAUGGACGUACCUUGACGGUACCUUAUUAGAAAGCCACGGCUAACUACGUGCCAGCAGCCGCGGUAAUACGUAGGUGGCAAGCGUUGUCCGGAAUUAUUGGGCGUAAAGCGCGCGCAGGUGGUUUCUUAAGUCUGAUGUGAAAGCCCACGGCUUAACCGUGGAGGGUCCUUGGGAACCGGGGGACUUGAGUGCCGAAGAGGGAAGGGGAAAUUCAAGGGUAGCGGUGAAAUGCGUAGAGAAUUGGGGGAACACCAGUGGCGAAGGCGAAUUUUUUGUCUGGAACUGACGGUGGGGCGCGAAAGCAUGGGGAGCAAACA
rnacentral:rRNA from 1 species